rnacentral:rRNA from 1 species
AUUGAACGCUGGCGGCAGGCCUAACGCGUGCAAGUCGAGCGGAUGAAGGGAGCUUGCUCCUGGAUUCAGCGGCGGACGGGUGAGUAAUGCCUAGGAAUCUGCCUGGUAGUGGGGGAUAACGUCCGGAAACGGGCGCUAAUACCGCAUACGUCCUGAGGGAGAAAGUGGGGGAUCUUCGGACCUCACGCUAUCAGAUGAGCCUAGGUCGGAUUAGCUAGUUGGUGGGGUAAAGGCCUACCAAGGCGACGAUCCGUAACUGGUCUGAGAGGAUGAUCAGUCACACUGGAACUGAGACACAGUCCAGACUCCUACGGGAGGCAGCAGUGGGGAAUAUUGGACAAUGGGCGAAAGCCUGAUCCAGCCAUGCCGCGUGUGUGAAGAAGGUCUUCGGAUUGUAAAGCACUUUAAGUUGGGAGGAAGGGCAGUAAGUUAAUACCUUGCUGUUUUGACGUUACCAACAGAAUAAGCACCGGCUAACUUCGUG